rnacentral:sRNA from 1 species
GCCAGGUGCAAUGGCGUAUGCCUGUAGUCCCCGCUACAGGCAGGGAUGCUGAGGCAGGAAGAUCCCUUGGGUUCAGGAGUUUGAGACUAGCCUGGGCAACAUAGUAGACCCUGCCUCAA